UUCGACGUCGCUCCUCUGUCCUGAAAUAGGUCACGUUAAUUGUCGUUGUUAUUCCAGCGUUAAUGCGCACGACUAAUUUGUGUCUUCUUCUUGACGUUGUGUCCUCCGGUAACUUUGCGCUUAGCUAAGACACACACUGUUGUGCGAUAUCUUUUUCUUUUUUUAACGUUGCCAACGUUGACGUUUGACGUUUGAUGAGAUGUAUGAUGGUAGCUUCGCAACAUUGACACCCGUUAUAUGUAUACCACUUCUGAAUUAUAAUCUCAGCUUCCUUUCGAGGAAGAUAGAGGUAAUCGGUGGGAUAAUCUCGAUGUGCAAUGUUAUGUUUAAGUUAAGAUUCUCGUAUCGUACGCGCUAUUGACUCGUCGUAAUGUUUAAUAACUAUUGCUUCUAACGAGCUUAUUUAUUUCUCUUCCGGCGUGUACGAGGGAGUACUCUGUGAGUAAAAAACAGAGUCAAGAUUACUCUUAGGGUUGUUAUCUGUGAAAAUUGUCACGACCAAAACUUUGGAAGAACCUGACGACGAACCGCGGAAUAACGAUUAAGGUUGAAUAACUUCUCAACAAAGCUGCUCAAAUCGCUCCCAACUAUGCUCGAGGAUUAACAUAAACAAUUUCCUGGAUUCUACCUCAAAAAUAAUAAUUUAGGCAGAUCAGGUGAUCUGGGUGGCUAAGACACUGGACCUCCUCGACUUAUCCAUCGAUUAGGAAAAAUAACAUUCAUGUGUUGUCUGACAGCCAAACUAAAGUGAAGAGGUGCUCCGUCAAGUUGCAUCCACAUGUUUUGCCGAAGGUUUAGAGAUCAAUCUUCCAGAAGAAUAGCGUUGUAAAGCCCAUCGAUAAAAUUUCAUUCUCCUACCAUGAUCCUCCUGCGUCAAGGCUUGGUGCAAGUUGAUAUGGAAUGUUGAAUGGAUGUUGACGCGCACGAUGCAAGAUAUUCCAAAUAUUUACGUGGGAUAUUCCAAGUUCUCGUGACAAUUGUCGUGUACUGUAAUGAGGAUUUACAACAAUUGCUGCUAAAACAUUUAUUGUUGUGUCCUGACUACAAACUGGACAAGACCGAUUCAUAUUGCGAUGAACUGCAAAAGUCCCAUGUUCUCCCAAACGAUGAUAUGAAACGAAUGAAGACCAUAGGAGAUGGGUAAUGGAAUCUAUUAGGAUUAUCUU